rnacentral:rRNA from 1 species
CCCCGGUGCUCAAAGCUUGGUUGGAACCACACCGAUCCAUCCCGAACUCGGUUGUGAAACGAUCAAGAGGUUUGAAAAACUCGUUGGGAGACUAACGGGAAAUUCUUUUCUAGUGCCGGGG